rnacentral:misc_RNA from 1 species
GAUGAAGAACGUAGCGAAAUGCGAUAAGUAAUGUGAAUUGCAGAAUUCAGUGAAUCAUCGAAUCUUUGAACGCACAUUGCGCCCAUUAGUAUUCUAGUGGGCAUGCCUGUUCGAGCGUCAUUAAGUCCACUUAAGCCCUGCUUAGUGUUGGGAGACUGCUCCAGCGGUGCUACCCUGUAGCUACCCUGCAGCUCCUCAAAGACAGCGGCGGAGUUGUGGUAUCCUCUGAGCUUAGUAACUUGUUCUAGCUUUCGAGUACACCACUUCCCCUGCCGUAAAACCCUUAAUUUUUAAUGGUUGACCUCGGAUCAGGUAGGAAUACCCGCUGAACUUAAGCAUAUCAAUAAGCGGUGA